rnacentral:rRNA from 1 species
AUUGAACGCUGGCGGCAUGCCUUACACAUGCAAGUCGAACGGCAGCACGGGAGCAAUCCUGGUGGCGAGUGGCGAACGGGUGAGUAAUAUAUCGGAACGUGCCCAGUCGUGGGGGAUAACGUAGCGAAAGUUACGCUAAUACCGCAUACGAUCUAUGGAUGAAAGCGGGGGAUCGCAAGACCUCGCGCGAUUGGAGCGGCCGAUAUCAGAUUAGGUAGUUGGUGGGGUAAAGGCUCACCAAGCCGACGAUCUGUAGCUGGUCUGAGAGGACGACCAGCCACACUGGGACUGAGACACGGCCCAGACUCCUACGGGAGGCAGCAGUGGGGAAUUUUGGACAAUGGGCGCAAGCCUGAUCCAGCAAUGCCGCGUGCAGGAAGAA